rnacentral:lncRNA from 1 species
UGUCAUUCUUCGCAAACUCGUUACGACUUCCAUAUCUUAAAGUAGAUACAUAUUUUCAACUACCCAAGCGGAAUGACCAGAUCAGAUAUAGAUAUGACAAUUUGCUCAGGCCCAUUUCUAGCUAGCCAAACCAUGGUAUAAUCUAUGACCAUGGUCGUACCAACCAUAGUGACCCUAUCAGAUAUCUAAAGUCACGACAAUACUUAGCCAAGAGUGACUCCUAACAGAUAUUCACGUUACCAUUCUUGUCAGAGGGUAUGUCGUCAUCCACUAGGAGCGGUCCUCUUACAUUUUUCUAAACUAGAUAGAGGAGGGGGAAAUAGAUAUCUUGAAAGGGGCUAGGGAAAUAGAUACCCAUCGGAGAUAAAAAGUCUAACGAGACACUUAAUACAAUAUGCAUGUCAAUACAGAUACAUACUUCGGACUAUUCAUGCUUUAUUCGACCUUUCUCUUUUUCUUUGUUUCUUUCAUUUUUAUAUGUAACAAUACUGACUUUAUAUUAUAUUUUAUUACAUACAAAUCAUCAAGUGUCUAUAAUUCAUAUAACAUGCUUGAAAAUAAGAACUAUUCGACUUAUCUAAAC